rnacentral:rRNA from 1 species
AUGAUCUUGCGUGUGCAUAGGAAUUUUUUUGAAAUUACUACGUUCCCCAACAAGCUUCCCCACAACCUACCUGGGUCUGCCACUUCCCCCAAGAGGCUGUGUUUAGUGCAUUUCCAAUUCCUCAUUGACCGUGUGAAGUCACGUCUCGCGGGCUGGAAGGGCAUGCUGAUGUCGCUGGCAGGUCGACGAGUUCUGGUGUGGGCGGUGCUUUCUGUGCUGCCAACUUUCGCCAUGAUAGUGCUCAAGGUGCCGAAGAAGAUCCUAAAGGAGAUUGACAAGGCACGGCGUUGCUUCCUAUGGGCCAAAGACGAGGCACUGACCGGCGGGAAGUGCAAAGUGGCAUGGAAACAUGUGUGCUCUCCAUCGGAGAAGGGCGGGCUGGGGAUCCUUGACCUGCUUCCGUUCGGCUCGGCCCUCCGGCUGUGCUGGCUAUGGGAGUCCUGGUAG